UUAGCAAGGGCCGGGCAAGACCGGUGCCAGCCGCCGCGGUAACACCGGCGGCCCGAGUGGUAGCCGUUUUUAUUGGGUCUAAAGGGUCCGUAGCCGGCCUGAUAAGUCCUUUGGGAAAUCUGGCAGCUUAACUGUCAGGCUUCUAAGGGAUACUGUCAGGCUUGGGACCGGAAGAGGUAAGGGGUACUCCAGGGGUAGGAGUGAAAUCUUGUAAUCCCUGGGGGACCAUCUGUGGCGAAGGCGCCUGACCAGAACGGGUCCGACGGUGAGGGACGAAAGCUAGGGGAGCAAACCGGAUUAGAUACCCGGGUAGUCCUAGCUGUAAACGAUGCUCGCUAGGUGUCAGACACGGUGCGACCGUGUUUGGUGCCGCAGGGAAGCCGUUAAGCGAGCCACCUGGAAGUACGUCGCAAGGC
rnacentral:rRNA from 1 species